CUCCUACGGGAGGCAGCAUUCGAGAAUAUUCGGCAAUGGGCGCAAGCCUGACCGAGCGACGCCGCGUGAAGGAAGAAGCCCUUCGGGGUGUAAACUUCUUUUCUUAGGGAAAAAUCCCUCCCUUUUGGGCAAUAAAUAUAUUAUCGCCUAAAAGGGAGGGAUGAUGGUACCUAAGGAAUAAGGGGCUGCCAACUACGUGCCAGCAGCCGCGGUAAUACGUAGGCCCCAAGCGUUAUCCGGAUUUAUUGGGCGUAAAGGGUGCGUAGGUGGUUUAUCACAUCUUUGGUUAAAGUCCUAAGCUCAACUUAGGAAUUGCCAAGGAGAUGGAUAAACUAGAGAAUGCCAGAGGUGGCUGGAACUGCCGGUGUAGGGGUGAAAUCCGUUGAUAUCGGCAGGAACGCCAGAGGUGAAAACGAGCCACUGGGGUAUUUCUGACACUGAGGCACGAAAGUGUGGGGAGCAAAAAGGAUUAGAUACCCUUGUAGUCCACACCCUAAACGAUGCCGACUAGCUGUUUCGAGUAUCGACCCUCGGAGUGGCGAAGCUAACGCGUUAAGUCGGCCGCCUGGGAAGUACGGCCGCAAGGCUAAAACUCAAAGGAAUAGACGGGGACUCACACAAGCGGUGGAG
rnacentral:rRNA from 1 species